UUCAACUGGUUGCGUGCAGCUGUGUGUGCGUUUGUUUUUCGAGUGGUGAAAACAUAAGGGGAAAGACUGAUAAUAGCUUACAACUUCUCUGACCCAUUAACCUCCUCUGCUAAUUCUGUUUCUGCAUUACACCCACUUGAAACAACAAGUUCGUCUCCUGCGUUCGAAGAUCCGUCACCUAUUUAUGAUUCAAAACAAACGAGUAAUUUGCGUCGGCGUUUCCAGCUGGCCAAGUAACAGGCUGUGCACCUCAGAUCUGUGUGGCGGUCGUUGUGUGAAUAUACAAAUAACAACAGGCAGGCCCGCGGAGAAAAGACUCUCAAAAGGGGGGAAGGGAGGAGAAACAAAGGGCCUGUGUAUGGAUCAAAUCAGUUACGGUCCCACAGCGGUGGAUCUGCUGCUCGCGCACAAGAAUGCAGAGCAGGUGGAUUUUAUUCUCGUGCUCAGCAUUCAGCCACCCCCGCGCGGCGUCAAGCAUUACUGCUGCGGCGCGCGUGUGCCCCGACUUUACUCCACGGAAGUGCUUGAUAAGUGCUUAUCAUGGUAAUUUGCCAGACAGAAGCCUACACCUGGGACGUUUUCUCUCGUAUAGGAGCUGAUUCACCCACCGUCUACCGUAGUUAUUCUCACUGCGCGCCGGGAAGAAAGAUUAAGCUCCCCGAUCCCCCCAUUUCUCCCUCUCCCGUGGGAAUCCAUCUUUUCUUCUGACUGUUUAAAAGGAAGCCGGGCGCAGAGCGAGACUAAACGACAUAAAGCUUUUAAUCUGUUAAUGGAAGGAUCUGCUAGAUAAUUGAAGCACUUGGGUUAUUUGCCCGUGUUCAUAAUGCUUCUUUAAAUAAUUAUGAUCAUGAUGACAACAGAGAAAAUAAUGCAGAAUAAUCAUAAUGCGUUUACUGAUCAUGCUACGAAUUCAUUUAAAUUUCAAUAGGAUGGCACCACUAAGAAUAAACCUGACUUUUCAUCUCGGCUUUGGAGAAAUCAAACUAGACAGGCAGAGAGGGAAGAAAACGAGCAAGCGUCACACCUGGCAGGACGAUUGGAUUUAUAUGAUAAUAGCGUGGCGCGUGAAUGCGUAUUUGACAUGCUUUAGGCAUCUCGCGCUGGCGCCCGUUCUUACACACAAAGUAGCUACAGCAUUAAAAAGCCGGAAAUAUAGAAUAAAUUUUAAAACUGAAAAUAAAGCCGAGGUUCUAGUAUGUGUGUGUGUGUGAGAGAUGGAAACGGAGUAUAAUACCUUGACAAGAAUACACUGUGACAUUUUGUCUGAGCUGACAGACAGAAGCAACGGCGUCUGCUCCAGGCAGUAAAAGUUCAAGGUUGCAGGACAGCCAGGUGUGGCUGAGGAAGAAGCGCUCGCGUGCUCUCCCCGCGGCCUACCUACCAUCUUUCGGGGUUAUAACCUUGACCCACUCUUAACGGAGUGUAUUAUUGGAUUGAGCAGCUGAACUACCGCCAAGGCCAUAAUGAGAACUGUCAAACAUGUAUGAAUUUGAACGAACAGGUGAACAAGGGAAACAUGGAGGAGACACACCUAUCGCCAUGGGGACAGAGGAGACACACCUAUCGCCAUGGGGACAGAGGAGAUACACCUAUCGCCAUGGGGACAGAGGUGACACACCUAUCGCCAUGGGGACAGAGGAGACAUGCCUAUCGCCAUGGGGACAGAGAGCAGAGAAGGGAACACUGCCCUGUCGUACAGCAUGGUGGAGCCAAAAUGACAGGUAGCAGAGGCAGGAGCCACUGCCCUUAUUAUCCAGACCCUGGCUCGGGAUUUGGGAUUUGGGAGGUUGACUCAGAGCCCCGGGAUUGAUCAGGAGCUUCACAGAGUCCGCCCAAAAUCCCACACAGCCAGCCUGUGGCCGUGGAUGAGCAGAGAGCUGCAGUGGAUGAGCUGUCUCUCCCUCUCUCUCUCUCUCUCUCUCCCCUUAUACACCUUUACCUGUUAUUCCUCCUUACACCUCUGUUUGGUUACCUGUUUACCCUCUUUUUAGAUUCCUAUCCUCUGCCUCUGUAAAUAUCCUGUUCCCCUCUUUAACUCUCUCUCUCUCUCUCUCUGUUUACCUGGAUCUGUUUUCCCUUUCUUAUCUAUCUCAUUACCUGCUUAUUGUUUUACCCGUCCUCCCUUUCUCUCUGUCUUCCCCUCUGUACAUUUUAACCUAGUCUUUCUCCUUUUAUACCUCUCUCUCUCUCUUCAGCUUUCCAUCUCACUGCGUCUCAAUGUGUCCAUCUCUUCCUCCCCCUCUUUCCCUCUAUCCCUUCAUCUUUCUCUUCUCCCUCUUCCUCAAGCUCUACCUUUCCAGUUCUUUUUUUACCGUAUGCCUGUCUGACUCUUUAACUUGAUCCCUCUCUCUCUGAGAGGAAGAGACAGAAGAAGAUGGAUGGGAAGAGUAGGUUAAGAGGUACAAAGAGAGAGAAGUGACAGAGAGAGAGGGGAGGGGCAGACAGGGAAGGUACCUUCUCUGCCCAUCUGCUAGUGUCUUGUGGGUCCCUGUAGUGUGUUGAGAUGGGAGAAUGGACAGAAAUGAAGUGACAGACCCUGCUUCUCAGAAAGAGGACACAGCAAGUCAGUGUGUGUGCCCAGCGAGUCAGUGUGUGUGUGUGCAGUGAGUCAGUGUGUGUGUGUGUGUGUACGCACCGAGUCAUAGU